GAGGUCAAAUGAAUUUCAAGAGGUUAUCCCUGACUGACAUAAAGAUUGAUAUCCCACGAAUUCCCAAAAAGAAGUCGUUAAUCGCUGCCAUGGAAGCUGCGGAUGUGAAGAACAAAUGGGAGAACAGCUCAUGGGGAAGAAAGUUGAUCGUGCAAAAGAGGAGGGCUGCAUUGAAUGACUUUGACAGGUUCAAGGUCAUGCUGGCUAGGAUUAAGAGAGGAGGUGCUAUCAGGCAAGAACUUGCAAAACUGAAGAAGAAGGCUGCUUAAGGUAUCACCAAAUUGCUGAAAUCUUUUCGGGUUAUUGUUACCAUUUAGGCUGACAAUGUAUUUUGGCUAUACUUGUUUGCCUUGUAGAGAUGUAUUUUCUUUGAAUCCUCUCUUAUUAUGGCUAUUUUCUAGAUAUUUUUGAAAGAUCACUA
rnacentral:misc_RNA from 1 species